GAAUUGAGGGGCGUAUAGCAUGCAGUCGACGGGACCGCCCCGCGAGGGGUGGGGAGAGUGGCGAACGGGUGAGUAACACGUAGGUGAUCUGUCCCCGGGUGGGGUAUAGCCCAUGGAAACAUGGGGUAAUACCGCAUGAGGUCCUGGAGCUUGGAGGCUUCUGGAUGAAAGGCGCAAUUGUGUUGCCUGGGGAUGAGCCUGCGGCUCAUUAGCUAGUUGGCGGGGUAAGGGCCCACCAAGGCGACGAUGGGUAGCCGGCCUGAGAGGGUGUACGGCCACACUGGGACUGAGACACGGCCCAGACUCCUACGGGAGGCAGCAGCUAAGAAUCUUCCGCAAUGGGGGAAACCCUGACGGAGCGACGCCGCGUGGACGAAGAAGGCCGCAAGGUUGUAAAGUCCUUUUGCAGGCGAAGAAUAAGGAGGAGAGUGGAACGCUCUUCUGAUGACGUUAGUCUGCGAAUAAGCCCCGGCCAAUUACGUGCCAGCAGCCGCGGUAACACGUAUGGGGCAAGCGUUGUUCGGAAUCACUGGGCGUAAAGGGCGUGUAGGCGGUUCGAAAAGCCUGGCGUGAAAGGUGUCGGCCCAACCGACAGAGGGCGCUGGGAACUGCCGGACUGGAGUCACGGAGGGGGAGCUGGAAUUCCAGGUGUAGGGGUGAAAUCUGUAGAGAUCUGGAAGAACACCGGUGGCGAAGGCGAGCUUCUGGCCGAUGACUGACGCUGAGGCGCGAAAGCGUGGGGAGCAAACAGGAUUAGAUACCCUGGUAGUCCACGCUGUAAACGAUGUGCACUAGGUGUUGGUGCCAUACGGGCAUCGGUGCCGUAGCUAAGGCGAUAAGUGCACCGCCUGGGGAGUAUGCUCGCAAGGGUGAAACUCAAAGGAAUUGACGG
rnacentral:rRNA from 1 species